GAACAAAACCGUUACAAUAAAUGGCGGGUGUUUGUCUUGAAGGCUGGCAAGAGCACACAUUUGCAGUUUCUCCGUGCCUCCUUGACUGUUCAUUGUAGGCCUCGAACAAAUUGCUACAUU